rnacentral:lncRNA from 1 species
UGGUCUUGAUCUCCUGUCCUCGUGAUCCGACCACCUCGGCCUCCCAAAGUGCUGGGAUUACAAGCGUAAGCCACCGCGCCUGGCCAUUUUUCUUUUUAAUCAAUCCUGCCACUUGAAGAUUAUAUGGUAAGGGAAAUCUGCAGUCUAUACACAAUACUGAGUUGCUCCAAGCCCUUGAGGAUUGUGAGGGACCCAGUGUUCUAAUUCUUGCUAGAGUGUCUACCUCCAUGUUACCAGAGGCGAGUCUGACCGGGUACUGACAUGUGAUAUACCAUUAAGUGUGCAGUGGGUUCUUUUAGCCUUUCCCAAAUGUCUUUCCACAUGGCAGCGCCCCACAGCAUUUUCUUUUUCUUCUUUUUUCUUUUUCUUUUUUUUUUUUUUCUUUUUUUUCCUGGGCAACAGAGUCUCACUCUGUUGCCCGGGCUAGAGUGCAGUGGCGUGAUC